UUCUCGCUGGUAUAUCGGUAGAACACACCCCUGUCAUUGCUGUCAGGGUCGGGUGAGAGCUGGGUUCGACUCCCAGGCGGGAAG